rnacentral:rRNA from 1 species
CCUACGGGAGGCUGCAGUGAGGAAUAUUGGUCAAUGGGCGUAAGCCUGAACCAGCCAAGUCGCGUGAGGGAUGAAGGUUCUAUGGAUCGUAAACCUCUUUUAUAAGGGAAUAAAGUGUGGGACGUGUCCUAUUUUGUAUGUACCUUAUGAAUAAGGAUCGGCUAACUCCUGGCCAGCAGCCGCGGUAAUCCGGAGGAUCCGAGCGUUAUCCGGAUUUAUUGGGUUUAAAGGGUGCGUAGGCGGCCUUUUAAGUCAGCGGUGAAAGUCUGUGGCUCAACCAUAGCAUUGCCGUUGAAACUGGGGGGCUUGAGUAUGGUUGAGGCAGGCGGAAUGCGUGGUGUAGCGGUGAAAUGCUUAGAUAUCACGCAGAACCCCGAUUGCGAAGGCAGCCUGCCAAGCCAUGACUGACGCUGAUGCACGAAAGCGUGGGGAUCAAACAGGAUUAGAUACCCCUGUAGUC